AAGAGAAAGUGUUGGAAUUCAAAGAUUUGAUCAAGCAAAGGUGGUGAGUAAAUUACACUAGUAAAAGUACAGAGAUUGUACUUGGAGAUUGGGAUUAUGAGUACAUCAACUCCUAGAACUGCUCGGGGAAUUCCAUAGUUAGUUGACUUUGACAAGG